rnacentral:lncRNA from 1 species
GUCGGUUUCAUCAUGUCCCAAUGAGCUGUAUCACUGCACAUCUCAAAUGCAAACCUAGGGGUCAAGGGCCGCUCAAAUAUUUUCUUAGAAGCUGAUCAAAAAGUUUUCACUGAUUUCCCCUUCCCUAUUUUGUUUGAACCCCAGCCCUCCUAUUCCCUUGCAGGAUCAUGCAUAAAGGAUGUCAUGGCAAUGGUCAGGACCAGGUGACUCUUCACCUAGAGGUCACUGUUUACUCAGUUUUUCCUUGAAGCGUGUGAAUGGAGCUCAUCAAUAAGAAAGUCAGCAGAUUUCCGUGUGAACCGGAUUCAGAUGGACUUGCACAGCUGUAACCGCUAUUGUACAGGAAUUGCUGGAGGCACAGUGGUAAAAGAAUCACAAAGCUGGCAACAAUUUAGAAACGUUUUAAUAAGGGAAUUAUUCAUCAGCACAAUGAUUCAUGCUCACCAGUUUUCCAGAGGAGAUGGUCACAGCAUUUUUUUCCACUGGGAGGAGGGAGACAAGGGGCAGACAGGCAAAGUUGAUUCCCAAGGCUUGGCUCCACACUCAAGUGAAAUGGAUGUGAAUUUUCUCAUCUUUCCUGCAAUAUUUUCUCAGCUCCUGGAUGUGUGGGAGGAAAAGGAAGUUAUUCAGAAUCAAUUAUGACUUUCCACUACGUUGCUGCAGUUUGGAUUACUGUUUGUCUUAUGUCUACAGCCCAUUGUCUUUUGUAUGAACUGAUUCCUACCUCCCCAUUCUGUUAUCUCUCAAUCACAAAGCUGUGAAACCAGUUUCAAGACAACUGAAAUUACCUGCAAAGAGACUACACUGGUAUGCUUUUCAGACCUGGUUAAAAAUCCCUUUAGAUGCAUUGAAAGGUUUCCAAAGAUUAAAGUGGACUUUGUUUUGGACCUGUGGUAUCAAAACCAUAUUUGGGAAAUCUUUGGGUAUUAAGGUCUGAUAUCCAUUCAGGAGCCAUAAAUAUGAAUAACAAGAGCCAGUCUUACUCGGAAAAUUUAGGAAAGAGCAAAUGAAAACUGUGGCCUUGCUUAGGAAGAAGAAAAAUACCCACAUAAUUUUUAAAAUCCCAAUUAGAAUUUGGUGUAGUUUCUUG